GAAACUGAUGCCUUAGGCGAGUGAGUGUAAAUACAACAUUAUUAUUAUUUUACUGUGAAAGUCUCAGAGUCAGUUUCUCCCUGUGGACUGUGGAGGGAAGAAGAGUCAGAGUGAACUUGUGUCCACACAAAGACACUGAGAGAAAAGGAGGGAACAACAUGCGCUGUGGUACUUCCUGUUCUCUGCGUCAGAAUCAACAGUCUGACUCAACGUUGUGAUGAGCUGAAUAAUACACAUGAAGACUGAGCAGACUGACUGAAGUCCUGAAGAUGAGUGAUGGUGUGGAGGAAGAGGAGGACGGAGCAAAGUCUCCAGGAUCCAUCUGUCUGUCUAUGAAGAGUGACUGGUCCAAAGGACAUCUUCCAGACUUCAGUGAUGAACCUGGACCCUCAGACUCACACUGAUGAACAUGACAGAGA